UUUUAAUCAAAAAUUCUGAUUUUGUCCUUACACCUCAAAUUUCAGUGUUGGAAGUAGUCUUAGAAAUAAUUUAGGACAAUUAUCUACUCUAGGGGUAAAUAGCACCUUAGAUACAGAUGUAUCUUAGGAAUUACAGCACAAGUUUCCAGUAUUUCCUUUGGGACUUUGUACUCAGAUCUGAUCAUAUUUACUUAAAGAUGUCAUUUUUCCACGGAUAGAAUAGCUAUUUGUAUAGUUUUAGCACGCAUCUUCCAGUUUUAUUUUGGGACUUGGUCCAAUCAAUUAUCUUUUUAUAGUACUUAUGUUUAGAUAGAUAGGUAACUUUCAGUUUUCCUUUCUCCAGGUUAAGACACACCCAUUUCAAUGGUGGGAGAAAAGAAUUUACAUCACGCAUAGUUUUUCUGUUAUUGCCCAGUGUCAUUUUUCAAUGAGCAAAUCAGGAAAUAGCUACCUUGGGGAGUGAUUUUCAUCUGAUUCGUUAUCACUGAAACAUCUUUGGAAUCUUUCCGAAUCGUAAGGAAUUGAAUUUCCCUGAGAUACUCACUGUAUGACCUGCAAUAAUCCCUAGUGCCUCUAUUUUUGUUUUUGUUACAUUAAUUUCCUAGCCUGUGAGUUUCAUAUUCAUAACCUCUGCAGGAGAUACUGCCAUCUGCCAUAUAGCUAAGCCUCCGAGCUGUGGGCUUGGAAGAAUCUAUAUUUAUUUCAAGGACAAAGAAGCCAAGGAGGGAAGGGGGACAUGUUUAUUUUCACUUUUCCCAGACCACAGUGGGAGUGAACCUAAACUCUGGCAGGGAGACGGCAUCAGGUGCCAAACUGCCACGGUCAUUUGCAUAAUGUGUAAUCUAAGGUGUUGAUCAUCUCUGAUAAACAGGCACGUUCAGUGAGGGGAGGAGAAAUUUCGCAUUGCCCGUCUGCCUGUCCCUUAAGAAACCAAUCACACUGCUCUCCAUCAACUCUGCAGAGCAGAAACCUUUUUGCUCCAUUGAACUUGCUUCCCAUUUCUACUUAGCAAACUGACUAAUGGCCCUGGCUCGUUCCCUGCUGUCAUCUCUAAUGCUGCCGGGUGCAGCCACUCCUCCCCCAAAGGAAGGAACCUAUGUUCAGGUAAUGGAUUGGUUUGGGCUGAAUUUUUACUUUACGUUGCUUUGUAAAUUGAACUACUACACUGCACUACCCCCACUUGCCCCAUACAGAACUUUUGAAGAUCGUGAAGGAACAUGUUUGUUAGGAAAGUACUUUGCUGUUAAAAAUCUAACCAUUUGAUGUCAAUGCAAUUGCAUAGUAACUUAUUUUUAAUAGAGCCUUUGUUGAGGGUGGGUGUUCAGCAUAAAAUUUUGGUUUUAGAAACUGGACGUAUAUUUGUUUGCAUAGUUAUGUAAAUGCCUUUGCUUUAACAAGUGAGUCCUCAUAUUUAAUUGAAAGUCCUCAUAUUAACUGUUUAGUGAAAUUUGUAUUUUUAAGUAUAUGGUGGUUAAAAGUGAGAUUCUCAUAACUUUGGAUUUUGCUGCAUUGACUUAUCUUGUCCCCAUUCCCAUUGUACAGUAAUGGUGUCAUUUUGCUGGGGGAUCGACAGUGGGAGGUUUCUACACCUCUUCUGGCAUGUGUUUAUAUGGUAAUUACAACUUUUGAUAGCAAUACUACUCUUGCUAAUAAUGUGUAGUACCUUGGUGUCAGAAACUAUUUUCUGUAAUUCUCAAGUUAUCAUCCUUAAUUUUAGAAAUAAUGAAACUGAAGCCCAGAGUAUUUAGAGACUUCUAAUUCCAUUUGGUGAAAGCACAUGAAAUUGUCAUUAACGUAGCUUAAAAAUGGUUGAACAUCAGCAGCUCUCUAUGGCCUUCAGGAGAGCCAGGAUUCAAACUAGUGUCAGCCACAAUCUAUAGUCAGCCUUCCUUCCACGGUGCCAUGCUGCUGCCUUAUUUAUUUAUAUUUUGUCUUAUUUCAAGAAUCUCGCCUUGUAUACAUUGCACACUCAAUAUAAUAUAUAGCUACUGUCGGUCGACUGGCUUUUUAGAAGGGAGUUUGGAGAGUGCCACAGAUUUGUGUUUUAUAACCAUUUAGUGAACUAUUCGGUCUCAGGUUUUACCACUGUAAAUCUAGGUGAUUAUAAAGGACUAUUAGACACUGUCUUCUGAGGCAUUAUUUUCUCUCCUCUCUACAUAUGCUGCAGUUUUCCAAAGUCCAAAUAACUGUCACCAGUGAUGGGCUCUUCCUGAGACAGUCUGUUUCCUCCGUUGGACGCUAAGAUCCUUAAGAGGAAGUAGUAUUUAUACCAUCAGGCUGAUUCCAUAAAGCUGUUCUCAGAAGUACCCAAUUGGCUUCAGAAUGAAGGCAUUUUCCUGCACGUCCUAUACAUGUAUUCCGGAACUUAAAAUACAAUUAAAUAAAAAAUUUAAGAGAGAAAUAAGGCUUUUAUGGCAAGGAUAUUUUGCAUACUAUAGCAGCGUGCUGUGUUUUCCUUCUUCUUACUACAAGUUCGGGAAAUCAAGCAUGGUCUCAAUCUGCCUGAGGAGGAGAUUCAAGGUGC